rnacentral:lncRNA from 1 species
GCCCACUUAAAGAAUGAUUGAAACUCUAAUUAUUCAUGAUUGAUGUCGGCUUAGGUGCUCAAGGUUUUACCAAGAGACUUAUAUGCUCAAGCACGAAGACAAGAGACUUUCUAAAAUGUUUUCCCCAACUGCAAACAAGUUAAUUUGUUCUUACACUAUAUUUAACAAUGAUAGUGUAAACUGAACAAAUGAACAUACUCACUCCUUAGGAUUUCUAAGAUAUAAACUUGUAAAUAAAUCCUAAGUGUUCUGCGUUAUUUGAUUUGCAGAGUUUUGGCACAGAAAAAUAGCAAAGUCUUGUUGCUUCUUCUUCAAGUCUUCAGCUCCUUUUAUUGUUGACAGAGUUUUGGAGAAAAGUGCCAUCACAAAUAGAGUCGUUGAGAAGCUUUUAUCAAGAAUACUAGCCCUUUCCCUGGUAUGGAUAAUUCCGUUGGAAAGUCCUUUGGAUUUCCUUUGCAGAAUAAGAAUUAUAUGUUGCUCUCUCAGAUUCAAGUAGCCAUUUAGAUUUUGUGUCUGAUGUCUUUCACAUAAUAUGUUGAGAUCACUCUCCAGCUUCUAUGAGACAUCCUUCUUCGAAGGACAUUUACUUUCGGUUCACCUUCUUGUAGAUCUUCCACCAUAAAAGCUUCCCAAUCCCUUUCUGAUGCUCUUCAUAUGUCCUUGCUUCAUGACAAGUAAAUUCUGCACACUUGAACAUAUGUUAGUAUUCCAAUUGUUCUUCAAUACUUUGUUAUCAAGGUCGAAUCAAGAGGACUUUUAUGAACCAUUCCUGUCUAAUGGUUUGAAUCUUUCCACGAAUUUAAGGUUCUCAAAUUUCCAAAAGACACAAGAAGCGUUAUUUUCUCCUAUACAAGCUAGGAUUUUUUCUAGUUCAUUAAUCUCGAGGAAAAUCGAAGGAAUCCAGACUGAAGAAGGAAUCUUGAUGAAGAUUGUUGAAGGAUCACUUGGAUAGAAGAUAUUAAGAAUUGAGGUGUUGAGUUUUUUGAUUUCAAGCCCGAAUCAAGUUGAAGGUGAUCUUCCUACAACUGGAAGGUCGUAGAAUACUAUAAUCAAACAUUAUCGCACUUGCGUGCAAACAUUCAAUCAUAGUGGAAGGCUAUAGAUUUUAUUAGGAAGAGAGAAAGCACCUCAUAGCAAGGAGGAUUGGGGAAACCUCUCUAAAUCUAAUGUUUUCUCUUCCCUUACAUUUUACUUUCCGCAUUUAUUUCCUUGCAAAUUGAUGAAUUGUGAUGUUAGGAUUGAACAUGUGCUAAGCGAAUAAUUGCUUCAAUAAUUUGUUUGUCAUUGAAGAACAUUGAUUUUAUAUAAGUUGGUAUUAAUCACUUGGUAUAUUAGGAAUACUUGUAUCAAUCCAUUCAUCAUUUAAUUGUAGUUAGAUUUCAAUUUGUAAUAAUUUUCUGUUUAAAGAUUAUGUUUGAUUUGAGAAUGUCAAGGUCUUGUAAUUAAGUGUUGCUAAUUUGAUUGUGCAACAAUACCCCAAUUGUGAAUAUCUUGUUGAAAUUUGAUUUAUUCUAAACAUUGUUUUAGUGUGAUUUUCAUUGUAUCCACAUUAUCGUUCCAAUAGUCAAAUUGUUCGUAAAUGUUUUUCAAAAAC